AAGUGACAGUUAAUAUUGAGUGUCAACUUGGUUGGAUUGAAGGAUGCAAAGUAUUGUUCCUGGGUGUGUCUGUGAGGGUGUUGCCAAAGGAGAUUAGCAUUUGAGCCAGUGGACUGGGAGAGGCAGAUCCACCCUCAAUCUUGGUGGGCACCAUCUUAAUCAGCUACCAGCAUAAAAGCAGGGAUGGAAAGGGCAGAUUUAAAGAGUCUUCUGGCCUCCAUCUUUCUCCCAUGCUGGAUGCUUCCUGCCCUCGAACUUCGGACUCCAAGUUCCUCAGCUUUUGGACUUUUGGACUUACAGCAGUGGUUUGCCAGGGGCUUUCGGACCUUCGACAAUGGACGGAAAGCUGCACUGUCGGUUUCCCCACUUCUGAGAUUUUGGGACUCGGACUGGCUUCCUUGCUCCUCAGCUUGCAGAUGGCCUAUUGUGGAACUUCACUUUGUGAUCAUGAUUUACAAUUACCAGAGGAAUAUUGAUUUCUUGAGCAUGAUCUGUUUUGGAACAUCAAGACUACUGGUCUGAAAUCUAGGAGCUGCACUUCGCCACUGCCAGUGUAGUCUCCCUGUGACCUCUCCAGUGUAGUCUCCCCGUGGAGGACUGUCCAAAGGAUUUUCUGUGAUGAAAGGCAUGGGACUUCAGUGAAGAAGGCACAAUGCAGAGCAAGACAAGCAACAUCCUUUUCCGCAUCCUUUUCCGCAUUGAUUUAGUUCCCAGGAGGUAGAAACAGACAAGACAAAGAACAGAUGCUAAUGUUGUUCAGCUGUGUCGCUGUUGGGAGGCUGCCCUCACACACUUGUAUUUGGAACUCAUGGGGAUACCUGUCGCUUGGUUUUGUUGCAUCAUUGCUGAUGUUAUGAAAAUAUUGGAUCAGUGAAUACCAAAUCUGUAACCCUGAUACUCCCAUGUCUCAAAAGUUCUCAUUCUUCUCCUUCCUGCUGCCACAUGACAAAGGAUGUGUUUGACUCCCCUUUCAUCAUGAUUGCAAGUUUCCUGAGGCUUCCCAAGCCAUGCUGAACUGUGAGUCAAUUAAACCUCUUUUCUUUAUAAAUGACCUAGUUUCAGGUAGUUCUUUACAGCAAUGCGAGAACAGACUAAUACAUGGACUUCUCAGCAUCCCAAAUUUUAUUAUAAAUUGCCCAGUCUCAGAUAUUCUGUUACAUCAGGACAAACAGACUAAGACACUACUGUGUGUCAGGCCCAAUUUUAGUUUUGCAGGAUAGAGCCAGUGACAAAGACAAGUUUCUACCUUCUAUGAAGAUACCUUCCUGUGGGAGAAG
rnacentral:lncRNA from 10 species